GCGGCGUGCUUCAUACAUACAAGUCGAACGAGAAGCAGGAGCUUGCUCCUGUGGAAAGUGGCGGACGGGUGAGUAACACGUAGGAAAUCUGCCUUUGGGUGGGGGACAACAGUUGGAAACGACUGCUAAUACCCCAUAUGAGCUUGGUUGCAAUACCAAUCUUGAAAACUCCGGUGCCUAAAGAUGAGCCUGCGUCUGAUUAGCUUGUUGGCGGGGUAAUGGCCCACCAAGGCGACGAUCAGUAGCUGGUUUGAGAGGAUGAUCAGCCACAAUGGGACUGAGACACGGCCCAUACUCCUACGGGAGGCAGCAGCAGGGGAUUUUGCGCAAUGGGGGAAACCCUGACGCAGCAACGCCGCGUGAAUGACGAAGCCCUUCGGGGUGUAAAGUUCUAUCAGUAGGGAAGAAUUUUGACUGUACCUACAAAGGAAGCACCGGCUAACUCCGUGCCAGCCGCCGCCGUAA
rnacentral:rRNA from 1 species